rnacentral:rRNA from 1 species
UUAUGGCUCAGAACGAACGCUGGCGGCAGGCCUAACACAUGCAAGUCGGACGAGAAGGUUCCUUCGGGAACUGGAGAGUGGCGCACGGGUGAGUAACGCGUGGGGACCUACCUCUUAGUGGGGGAUAACGGUUGGAAACGACCGCUAAUACCGCAUACGCCCUUCGGGGGAAAGAUUUAUCGCUAAGAGAUGGACCCGCGUUGGAUUAGAUAGUUGGUGAGGUAACGGCUCACCAAGUCAGCGAUCCAUAGCUGGUUUGAGAGGAUGAUCAGCCACACUGGGACUGAGACACGGCCCAGACUCCUACGGGAGGCAGCAGUGGGGAAUAUUGGACAAUGGGGGCAACCCUGAUCCAGCCAUGCCGCGUGAGUGAAGAAGGCCUUCGGGUUGUAAAGCUCUUCAGAUGCGAAGAUGAUGAC